UGGGGAAUUUUGGACAAUGGGCGAAAGCCUGAUCCAGCAAUGCCGCGUGUGUGAAGAAGGCCUUCGGGUUGUAAAGCACUUUUGUCCGGAAAGAAAUCCUCUGGGUUAAUACCUCGGGGGGAUGACGGUACCGGAAGAAUAAGCACCGGCUAACUACGUGCCAGCAGCCGCGGUAAUACGUAGGGUGCAAGCGUUAAUCGGAAUUACUGGGCGUAAAGCGUGCGCAGGCGGUUUUGUAAGACGGAUGUGAAAUCCCCGGGCUUAACCUGGGAACUGCAUUCGUGACUGCAAGGCUAGAGUAUGGCAGAGGGGGGUAGAAUUCCACGUGUAGCAGUGAAAUGCGUAGAGAUGUGGAGGAAUACCGAUGGCGAAGGCAGCCCCCUGGGCCAAUACUGACGCUCAUGCACGAAAGCGUGGGGAGCAAACAGGAUUCAGGAUACCCUGGUAGUCCACGCCCUAAACGAUGUCAACUAGUUGUUGGGGAUUCAUUUCCUUAGUAACGUAGCUAACGCGUGAAGUUGACCGCCUGGGGAGUACGGUCGCAA
rnacentral:rRNA from 1 species